rnacentral:rRNA from 1 species
GGCUCAGUAACACGUCGGUAACCUACCCUCGGGAGGGGGAUAACCCCGGGAAACUGGGGCUAAUCCCCCAUAGGCCUGGGGUACUGGAAGGUCCCCAGGCCGAAAGGGGCUCUGCCCGCCCGAGGAUGGGCCGGCGGCCGAUUAGGUAGUUGGUGGGGUAACGGCCCACCAAGCCGAAGAUCGGUACGGGCCAUGAGAGUGGGAGCCCGGAGAUGGACACUGAGACACGGGUCCAGGCCCUACGGGGCGCAGCAGGCGCGAAACCUCCGCAAUGCGGGCAACCGCGACGGGGGGACCCCCAGUGCCGUGGCAAAGCCACGGCUUUUCCGGAGUGUAAAAAGCUCCGGGAAUAAGGGCUGGGCAAGGCCGGUGGCAGCCGCCGCGGUAAUACCGGCGGCCCAAGUGGUGGCCGCUAUUAUUGGGCCUAAAGCGUCCGUAGCCGGGCCCGUAAGUCCCUGGCGAAAUCCCACGGCUCAACCGUGGGGCUUGCUGGGGAUACUGCGGGCCUUGG